rnacentral:rRNA from 1 species
AUUGAACGCUGGCGGCAGGCCUAACACAUGCAAGUCGAGCGAGCGGCGGACGGGGGAGUAAUGUCUGGGAAACUGCGUGAUGGAGGGGGAUAACUACUGGAAACGGUAGAUAAUACCGCAUACCAUCAGAUGUGCCCAGAUGGGAUUAGCUCGAAGGUGGGGUAACGGCUCACCUAGGCGACGAUCUCUAGCUGGUCUGUGAGGGUGACCAGCCACACUGGAACUGAGACACGGCCCAGACUCCGACGUGAGGCAGCAGUGGGGAAUAUUGCACAAUGGGCGCAAGCCUGAUGCAGCCAUGCCGCGUGUUUGAAGAAGGCCUUCUGGUUGUAAAGCACUUUCAGCGGGGAGGCGUUACCCGCAGAAGAAGCACCGGCUAACUCCGUGCCAGCAGCCGCGGUAAUAC